CAGACCCUCUCCCACACCCAGAGACAGGUUGACUUGCAGGGGAUCCUUCACAGCCAGGCUCACAGGAUCCUACUUAAUGAGGUUUGCACGGCAUUGUCUUUAGCAACUUCCCAAACUGCAGAAUUGAAGAACAACGAAGCUUUUCUUUCUGGAUGCUUCUUUUAAGUCAUCUCACGAUUGUUUUAAGACUGGGUGCAUCAAA
rnacentral:sRNA from 1 species